AGGGUCAUCUCAUUAAAAAUCCUAGUACACAAAGGGCCAAAAGUUUGCUUGACAUUCCGUGUGCUCAUCGUAUAAUAAUAAGUGGCACACCUAUUCAGAAUAAUCUUAAGGAACUGUGGGCCUUGUUCCACUUUUGUUGCCCUGGUUUACUUGGUGACAAAAACUGGUUUAAGGAACAAUAUGAAUACUACAUUCUUCGCGGAAAUGACAAAAAUGCUUCUGAUAGAGAAAAGCGUAUUGGUUCAACAGUUGCAAAGG